AAAAUGUUGAAUAUCAACAAUGGCUUUCAGUGGUGCAUUGUCAACUUUUGUAUGAAGCAAUCUUGGCUGAAAGAGAUGGGUCCCAGAGCAGGGAGAGCUCAGCUGCAGUGUGCACGGCCCAAAGAAGUGACUGCCCAGGCGCUCUCGACGUUUCAUAUUUCUCUGCUGCGCCUCGCUCGCGCUGUUUGAAAGGCCCGAGGCUGGAGUCCGAGCUGAGGUUUGUUCCUGCCAGCUUUCUGUCCGUGGAGUCCUGCUCCUGGGCCUGCUGACAGCCAGCUGUUGUAAGCUGGGUCCAACAGAGGGACUAAAAAGACCCACGCAGCAGCAGCCUCGGGACCAGUGAGCGCUGGGUCUGAGUGACAGCUCCUUCUCUUGAUGGCUGAACCUUCCUUCAGAUGGACCAACAGUCGGGGAUGAUCUCCUGCUUUUAUCAGGCCCGAGGUGCAUGGAAGAAUGGGGCAGCCUGCUGUUGGAGUGUACCUAAGGAUGAAUAAGCUGCGGCCACAAAGAGGGCCGACGCAGCAUGGCCCUGCCGGCCUUCCCACACUCCCCGCAGGACUGGAUCCAUACAGCUCAGUGCGGCAGCCCGGAUUAGACCCCACGUACCUUUGUGGGGGGAAAGAUUAUCCAGACCUCCCUGCAUUCACUGACAGGGUUUAAGUCACUCUAGCGUGCCAGCAGCCACCCGUCACCUAA